rnacentral:rRNA from 1 species
UACGUAGGGGGCAAGCGUUGUCCGGAAUCAUUGGGCGUAAAGAGCGUGUAGGCGGCCAGAUAAGUCCGCUGUGAAAUCUCGAGGCUCAACUUCGAGCUGUCGGUGGAAACUGUCUGGCUAGAGUCCGGAAGAGGAGAAUGGAAUUCCUGGUGUAGCGGUGAAAUGCGCAGAUAUCAGGAGGAACACCGAUUGCGAAGGCAGCUCGCUGGGACGUUACUGACGCUGAGACGUGAAAGCGUGGGGGAGCAAAACAGGAUU